UUUUUCAGUGGUCUUAGGCGACCCCUGUGAAAGGGCCGUUCGACCCCCAAAGAGGUCACGACCCACAGGUUGAGAACCGCUGCUCUAGAGAAUGUCAUGUAGCCUCAAUGUAAACAUGCUCAAGGAACAAUUAGGAAAAAAAGAUAAGAUUUCACCCAUACUGUGAAAUCCUGACUUUCUAUCUUUGCAAAAUACCAUAUUGAAAAAAUCGUCUUAGACAUGGAUGCAGGUGGGCACUAUGCAAGCUGUUGCUGGUCAGUUGUAUCAUUGUAGAUGUUGCUAGAAGUACCAAAUAAAGUCUAUGCACUUCCAA